rnacentral:SRP_RNA from 14 species
GUGCUGCUCGGGGACUCAGCGCUGCCCUGUGCCCCGCCGUCCGUCGCAGGCGUCAUCACGAAUUCCUCCAUGGGCUCCUCCGUGGGACGGGCC